UAAAGUGCACGCUGUGGGCGUCGCAUGCAGACGAAAGCCAGGUGUUGAGGCUGAGCAGUUGACUGAAGCGCCCCAUUCCGCGACCGAGAUUGAGGGUUGGGCCAGAGAUGUAAACACUGCUAUGGGACUAUUUUAGGGUAUUAAAGAGGUGGACAAAGUCACGUUUUAACAGUCCGGACUGCUGUUUUGGAGUGUCAUUAGUACCAACGUGCAAUAGGAUCCCAUCAACCUCAGGAAAACAGAAGUGAUCUUGCAGCUGAUGUUGAAAGGGUGGAGGCUCUGGCAAUUACACAAGUAAAAAGUGAAAUUUGAUAUUUUAGCCUGUGUGUGUUUUCAGUUGUGUAACGUUUCAUGUCUGUAUGUUGCAACGAGGGUCUUCUCAAGACUCAAGUCCACAAUUAGGGAGGUAUAGAGGAUAUGCAUUGACGUCACUUUCCCACCGGAAUACGCCCCCUCAGUCGGGACUGAGCAAAACAUGCUGCGACAUGGCUGCCUUUAGUAGAGGAAACUGCAAAACCAGGAGUAAAACAAACAAUUAUCUGCUUAAAUUAAAGGCAGUUGGACUCGACAGUGAUCCUUACAACUUAUCAAAGAACCAGUGGUACAUGGACAUUCAACAAGAAAUCGGAGCUGUCUUUUUACAGUCUGCCGAAAACUAAAGAAAAGAGAAGCAAAUGCAUCGCUGCAGUUCGCAGAAACAACUUGAAUCCAGGCACCAAAACCUGGAUUUGCGGUUGUUAUUUUGUGUCAGGUAUGUUGGAUUUUUGGGUAAAAUCAUAUCUUAUUAAUUUAUAUGCUUGGCUAGCUAACACUAUCUAGAACACUAUCUCGGAAGUUUGUAGAACACAAGGCUCAUCAUCAUGGUUUUUAAAAAAAUAAAUGCCGACAAAAACUAUUCAGUUACACAGAAUAUAAAUGAAAGAUGCUAAAUAUUUAAUUGAUGAGUAGUCAAUACAGUACAUAACUUAAGUAACUUAAAUAACUUAGUUACAAUCUCGAAGAUUUCCGUUUCGUUCUCUUUGGUGGUACCAAUGGCGAAAAGCAGUAGGCCUAAUUGCAGGUGUGUUUUUGGACCUCACUUCCCAGAGAUCCAACCGGAUCCAACCAGUGUCGCCUGUGUGACGUCAGCCAGUUGGCACCUGGGCCACGCGAACUAUAACAGUUACUAUUUACUGAAUAAAAAAUGGUUGUUAUAAAAGUAACGUUAUGUACAUACUCAUUCAUUGUCUAGCAUUAGGCUAACUUAAGCUGUCUUUACACUGCUGAGCCGGGUUAAAAUGCUGUAGCAGACCUGGGGUAGAAUUAGUGGUGAUCAAUUUUCACAAACGUUCUUUAUCCACCUUUUGCCCGGUAUGAACAUGUUUACACUGCAGAGAAGAAUUUGCGGGGUUCGCUGCGGCUCGUGCAAUUAUGUAUCUCGUGCACAAUAAACAGUCUUUUUCGUGAA